rnacentral:rRNA from 1 species
UACGUAGGGAGCAAGCGUUGUCCGGAAUCAUUGGGCGUAAAGCGCGCGUAGGCGGACUCGUAAGUCCGUUGUGAAAGUCAAAGGCUCAACCUUUGAAAGCCGAUGGAUACUGUGAGGCUAGAGUCCGGAAGAGGCGAGUGGAAUUCCUGGUGUAGCGGUGGAAUGCGCAGAUAUCAGGAGGAACACCAAUAGCGAAGGCAGCUCGCUGGGACGGUACUGACGCUAAGGCGCGAAAGCGUGGGGAGCGAACAGG